rnacentral:misc_RNA from 1 species
AAGUCGUAACAAGGUUGCCGUCGGGGAACCAGCGGCAGGAUCAUUAGUGCUUUGAACAAGAGCGAUGCUGUGGUGAUUUAAAGAUUGGGGUGUCACAACCCCGUCUUUCUGUUUUAUGAACGAUUUUACUAGGAGAAUGCUAUACAGUUAGUGACACAACUGGCAACGGCGGAUCUCUUGGCUCGU